GAAAGAAUAAAUGCAAGAAUAAAAAUUGCUUGCAAUUCUAGUAAUUGAUUGGAACAUCAAUAAACAUGGAACUACAUAGUAUCUUAUAACAAGAUAGGUGAAAUUAGCCAGUGAAGAGAUUCAGCAGAUAAUAUUGCGCUGAUAUGUGAUCGGUGUGAAAAUAAAUUUUUCUAAUCAGGGGUCACCAGGUCCGAGUAACGGUGAAACUACUUCGGGAGGCUCUACAUACGAUAAGCCAAAGAUACGGAUCUCACGUCACGUCAAACCGCCUUAGAAAUUUAAUUUUAUUGUUCCGAUUAUAUUGGAC
rnacentral:misc_RNA from 1 species